UCCAAAUGGCGCCCGGAUUCCUCUCUCUGGGAUUUCCCAGUUCUCUCAUAUAAAAAUACCACUAACAAUAACUCAAGAAAGAAAAAACAGGCACCCAAACAAACAACAUAAACAGAACCAAAUAAAGAAGCGAAGCGCAAAUGAGAAUCGUACGCAGAGAUUUAGUACCCAAUGGACCUGGAAGCGUCAAGAUGGUUCCAGUGGAUUCAGAUGAUCUUUGGUUUGCGUAUAAUCUCAUAGCUCCUGGCGACUCCGUCAUGGCUGUAACUGUUAGGAGGUAGGUUCUCAGAAUGGUACUGGUCCGGUAACGUUACUGGACUGAUGUGAUAGUUAGAAGUACGAUGUUUGGUUCUUGUUCUGGCUUUAAUAGGU